rnacentral:rRNA from 1 species
AACGAACGCUGGCGGCAUGCCUAACACAUGCAAGUCGAACGAGACCUUCGGGUCUAGUGGCGCACGGGUGCGUAACGCGUGGGAACCUGCCCUUAGGUUCGGAAUAACUCCCCGAAAGGGGUGCUAAUACCGGAUAAUGUCUUCGGACCAAAGAUUUAUCGCCUUUGGAUGGGCCCGCGUUGGAUUAGCUAGUUGGUAGGGUAAAAGCCUACCAAGGCGACGAUCCAUAGCUGGUCUGAGAGGAUGAUCAGCCACACUGGGACUGAGACACGGCCCAGACUCCUACGGGAGGCAGCAGUGGGGAAUAUUGGACAAUGGGCGAAAGCCUGAUCCAGCAAUGCCGCGUGAGUGAUGAAGGCCUUAGGGUUGUAAAGCUCUUUUACCCGGGAUGAUAAUGACAGUACCGGGAGAAUAAGCACCGGCUAACUCCGCG